UGAUAAACAUCCCAGAUUCUAACCUGGAAUAGAAUGUGUGUCUGCACAACCUACUAGUCACUGGACUGGCUUCCUCUUUGGCUACUGCUCCAGCGUUUCCUGGGUGUGCCGGGCCGAGUCUCUUUCCCAGAACUCUAUGGACUUGUGCCGGAUAGCAGUGAUGGGCCAUUCUUUCGGUGGAGCAACAGUGAUCGAAGCCCUCUGCUAUUAGGUCAACUUCAAGUGUGGCAUUGCCCUGGACGCGUGGAUGUUCCCCCUGGAUGAGGAGAUCUACGCCAGGGUAAAGCAGCCCAUCUUCUUCAUCAACUCUGAGAGGUUCCAGUGGGCCGGGAACAUCAUGGCCAUGAGGAAACUGGUCCCACCUGACUCCUCCUCCACACAGAGGAAAAUGGUCACCAUUAAAGGAACGGUUCACCAGAGCUUCCCAGACUUCAUCUUCCUGUCAGGCAACUAGAUCGGAGAUCCUGAAGCUGAAAGGAGAGAUCAACGCUCAGGUUGCCAUCGAUCUCUGUAGUAAAAGCAUUGCUAGCAUUCCUGCAGCGACAUCUAGAAACCUGGAAUAACCUGGAAAAUCAUUUUGAGUUCCUGCACGACACACUCGUCAAUGGACUGGCUUCAUCUUUGGCUACUGCUCCAGCGUUUCCUGGGUGGGCCGAGUCUCUGACACAAAGACGACGUCAUCGUCGCAUUUCUCCUCCACUCUCAGGAACCAAUGGUUGUCCGCGGGUCUUAUCACCUCUCAAUUAGGACAGCUGUGUCAACCUGGAACACUAUUCUCCUGCUUUGGUCUGUUUCAGACAUUGGAGGAAGUCCUGAAGAGCAGGAGUUUUAUCCCAGGCCAACUCUAACACCUGACUUAAAAUAAUGAACAUACCGAAUCACAGCGAUACAGAGGUAUAUUUACACAUAAUGUAAGCUCCACUCUCAAAUUGAAGUUGAACUUGUUGAUAUAAAACCAAAUAAAAUGACUUUUCUGUUAAAAAUAAAUAAAUAAAACAGAUAUGAUCCCUACACAGGCUCAAGGGGAACCUGGGAUGGCGGGUCUUCCAGCACCAGGACCCCUUUCAAGUCUUCAGAUGUAAAACUCUUGAGUCCCAAAAACGUUUCUGCCGCAGCCACAGUAAUGUCCAGUUUCUUCGAUUUCUUUGAGACUUGUGCUGUAUAGUUUAUAACUGUGGCAAUGAACGCAACAAAAUCUACCUUUUUAACACACGUUAUCUUUUGUCUGACAGCAAAUAUUUACUACAGUCUGUGGUGUGUCCACUACCAUCUCUUUACUAGCAUCACUAUUGUUCUCAAUUAUUUUAGUCACCUCCGCAUAGGAGACUCGAUUGACAGUUCUAACUUUUGCCACCUCAAUUUCCUUCACCCUUACCGGGCACUCCAGGAACUCAGGAUCAUGAUCCCCACCACAAUUGCAAUACCGUCAUCCUUCUACACACCGUUCUUCAGUAUAUUCUUUUCGUCUGCACACACUUGAAACAUGGCCAAAUCCUUUAAAAUUUUUACAUUGCAGUGGUUUGAAAACAAAAGCUCUUACGCCGUAUCUUCCAUAACCAAGCUUCACAUGGGUAGGUAUUUACUCUUUAUCAAAAAACAACAGAACAGACAGACUUUACAGACAGACUUUCUUAUUUUUCUCCAUUCGCCCAGUGGGUCAGAGGCCAGAAACCACCCACACCAGGAAUUCUCUUCAGGUAUUCAACCUGAACAUCCGUCGUCACCCCUGAGACUCCUUUGAUGUGUGCUCUACUCCGAAGUUCAAAACAAAGAACUUCUGUUAUCCGGAUUCUUUUGAGGCCCACUGCAAUCUUCCUCAGCGCUUCAGAAAUACACUCCUGGUCACUCUGGCAGACUCCACUUUUCCAUUUCAUAGGUCACCAUUUUCGACACCUCAAACGGGUUUCCCACAUGCAUCUUUAACUCAACAAACGCAGGCAAAAAUAAAUAAAAAUAAGUAAAUAAAACGCAUCCCAACAAGAAGCGAUUCAUUAUCAUUUACACAUGUAUCCUCUACUCCAAUUUUAGACAAUUUCCUUUUUGUUCCAGUUUUCGUUACUACUACUACCAAAUUUACUUGACACGCUGCUUAAUUCAAACUCAGCAUCCACUUCCACCAACUUCCACCACUCGUGCUCUGAUCCGGUAGCUGCCUUUAGGUUCCUUUCCAUCUGUAGGCUAUUGUACUGGCCUGUAUGGUAAAGUCUUUCAUAUGUGUAGUAGUUUGUUGUUUGUAUCAUUUGUGUCAGCUUUGAGUUCAAUCUAAGCCACAGAUUGUUAACUUCCUCCAUUUUGUACUUGACCACUAUCGACGCAGUCCCGAAUUCAUUCAAGCAGCACUUUGAGAGCAAGCAUCCCAAGUCUACAAUGGUCCCAGUACUGGUUGAUGUGCAGGCCUAAGUGACCACACACAAAUUUACCUACAGCUGGGGUAAGAUUCUUCCAUCAUUCACACACACAGUAGACAUAGUGUAAACCACCACGUUGUCAACAAAAGGCUGUCCUCAGUGCUUAACUUGUAUUGCCUAUGGCUCAAUUUGUGGAUAUGCUGUGAUCACUCAUUGUCUUUAAUGUUGUGAUUCACAGACACACGAUGACCACGAUUUGAAUGCUGCGACUGAGACGGAAUGACAUCGAGGGACACACGCGAGACCCCGAGUAUGACUGAACAUGGGCUGGAUAUUUGUGAUAACGACCUAAAAGAGGUGCAGAAGCACACCAGCACACCAUUUUAUGUGUAUUCCAUGGCCAACCAUCUCUCUAACUACCCCUUAUUCCACACUGUAGCACUCACUUCGGUAAUCAUGAAGUGCUUUGAGAGGCUGGUUAUGGCACACAUUAACUCCACCAUCCCAGCCACUCUAGACCCACUCCAAUUUGCAUACUGCCCCGACAGAUCCAUAGACGACGCAAUCUCAAUUGCUCUCCCUCGCCCAUCUAGAUAAGAGGAAUACCUAUGUGAGAAUGCUGUUCAUUGACCACAACUCAGCAUUCAAGACCAUUGUCCCCUCCAGCUCGUCAUCAAGCUUAGUACUCUGGGUCUGAACGCCUCCCUCUGCAACUGGAUCCUGGACUCCCUGACAUCACCUCCACCACGCUGACACAGGGGUGUGUGCUUAGUCCCCUCCUGUACUCUCUGUUCACCCACGACUGCAUGGCCAUGCACAACUUCAGCACCAUCAAGUUCGCUGACAACUCAACGGUGGAAGGCCUGACCAGGCCUAAAGGGGGAGGUCUGUGACCUGGCAGUGUGGUGAUGGAGCAUCAACUUCUCCCUCAAUGUCAGCAAGAUCAAGGAGUUGAUCGUGGACUACAGGGAACAGUGGGGGUGAACAUGCCCCCGUCCACAUCGACGGGGCGGCAGUGGAGCAGGUAGCUAAUGCUACUCUCUGUUUAUCAUAUAUGCAUAGUCACUUUAGCCAUAUCUACAUGUACGUGCUACCUCAAUCAGCCCGACUAACCGGUGCCUGUAUAUAGCCCC